AAUAGAUACCCGGUAGUCCACGCCGUAAACGAUGAGUGCUAAGUGUUAGGGGGUUUCCGCCCCUUAGUGCUGCAGCUAACGCAUUAAGCACUCCGCCUGGGGAGUACGGUCGCAAGACUGAAACUCAAAGGAAUUGACGGGGGCCCGCACAAGCGGUGGAGCAUGUGGUUUAAUUCGAAGCAACGCGAAGAACCUUACCAGGUCUUGACAUCCCGCUGACCGCUAUGGAGACAUAGCUUUCCCUUCGGGGACAGCGGUGACAGGUGGUGCAUGGUUGUCGUCAGCUCGUGUCGUGAGAUGUUGGGUUAAGUCCCGCAACGAGCGCAACCCUUGUCCUUAGUUGCCAUCAUUCAGUUGGGCACUCUAAGGAGACUGCCGUACAAAUACGGAGGAAGGUGGGGAUGACGUCAAAUCAUCAUGCCCCUUAUGACCUGGGCUACACACGUGCUACAAUGGACGGUACAAACGGUUGCGAAGUCGCGAGACGGAGCCAAUCCGAGAAAGCCGUUCUCAGUUCGGAUUGCAGG
rnacentral:rRNA from 1 species